AAUUAUCAUGGUCAUGAUCUUUAAUUAAUCAUGGCUUGGAUUUGGAGGUUUAUGUUGGCUUUUCUUAAGUUGACUCCUCUUAAAUGUAUUAGCUCGGUGUCUAAUGCUUAGAGCGGUUCACGGUGUGAUAAUUAUCUACACUUCAACUAAUCUGAGUUAGCCGGCUUCUAAUAGAUCUUCAGUGAUCAAUUUGUGA
rnacentral:misc_RNA from 1 species